rnacentral:rRNA from 1 species
UGCCAGCAGCCGCGGUAAUACGGAGGGUGCGAACGUUAAUCGGAAUUACUGGGCGUAAAGCGCGCGUAGGUGGUUCACUAAGUGGGAUGUGAAAGCCCUGGGCUUAACCUGGGAACUGCAUUCCAAACUGGAGAACUAGAGUACGAUAGAGGGGGGUAGAAUUCAGAGUGUAGCGGUGAAAUGCGUAGAUAUUCUGAGGAAUACCGGUGGCGAAGGCGGCUUUCUGGACCGAUACUGACGCUGAGACGCGAAAGCGUGGGGAGCAAACAGGAUUAGAUA